rnacentral:lncRNA from 1 species
AUGCUGGAUAAUUAAUGUGUGAUGGCACUCAGCACAGAGUGAUUUAGUGACUAGUGAGAAAUAAGAUAUAAUCCUGAGGCUUAAAUUAAGCGCACAGAUUGGGGAAGCUGGGUGGAAUUAUUAGUCUUUGUAGGGCAUGGCAGGUUCAAAGGAAUCAGAUGGCAGGUUCAUUCAUCUAAUUUAUUUGACUAUCAACUCUGUGACCAGGUGGCCUGGCCCAGGUAUUCCUGGGUGCCCUUCCUGAUCCUAAGUACUCUCAGAGUAAAAUUGCAACUUGUGUUCACCGGAGACAAAACAAAACCCUCUACCCUAGAAGUUCUAGGUGGCUUUGCCAAUACAAUACAAUACAAUACGGUGGGGUUUCAGAAUGAGGUUCAGGGAGUGUUUCUGCUCUCAGGGGAAUCCUCAGAGGCCAGAGCUCGGGGCAAGGCUUCCUCACUUCUUGGUGGCAUACAAGGAAGCAGGACAGCUGGAGACCACAGGCUCAGAGCACGUUUCAGACACCCUCUUGGAUGUAUCCUAGGGAAUGUCACCCAUCAGGCUGCCAAUCUGACCAGGGAUGUCAGGGGCAGUGUGAAGACUGACUUUUGUAGCAUUUUCAGACCAACAGAUUCACACCUCUGCUGGUAAGAGAUGCUCUCUGGCCUCCUCUGUGCACCUGUGACAAUCCUGCUAACACCAACAGAGCCCCAAACACUUGCUGCAUUUGGUGACUUUGGCAGAAAGGAAAACACCACACUUGAACAUAAUAAAAUACUAUAGAAUACAUUUUACUAAAUUUCAUUGGAAAUUUAACUAUUUGAAUACUUUUAUAUUUUCUGUAUUUAACUAUUUGUUUUAAAGAAGAUACACAAAAUGAGGUGAAAAUAAACAACUCUGCAAACCAAACCUAGCAGAGACUGAAUUUUGCCCCAUGUGAAACAGCUAAAUUCAGUGCAUUUUAAUUACUUUUGUCCCUAUGGGUUCCGCACUUAAAUUCUUCUAUUUCCCCCAUAGGUUGUGAUGAUAAAUUGGCAAGCUGAGUCUCAGUCUCAUACUAGCUGUGAAACCAAACGCAAUGUAUGACAGGCAGGAGUAGCUGAGCACGCUCAGCUUUUUUUUGUCAGCAAGGUGCGAUGAGGAUGUGAUAAAGGACUGCCCACGGCCAGCUCCAAAUGGCUGAGGGCAUCUGCUCACUCUCUGUAUCACGGGAAUGCACGCUGCUUCAAGUGAUAGGCUGCACCCAUGUGGUGAGGCAGUUCCCACCUCCUAUUUUCCUUUCCCAGAUUUUUCAGAAAUCUUUUUUUUUUUUUUUUUUG